CCCAAGCAGGCUGAUGUCAGG
rnacentral:miRNA from 1 species